GACGAACGCUGGCGGCGUGCUUAACACGUGCAAGUCGAACGGUAAGGCCCUUCGGGGUACACGAGUGGCGAACGGGUGAGUAACACGUGGGUGAGCUGCCCUGCACUUCGGGAUAAGCCUGGGAAACGGGGUCUAAUACCGGAUAGGACUCCUGGCUUCAUGGUUGGGGGUGGUAAGCUUUUGCGGUGUGGGAUGGGCCCGCGGCCUAUCAGCUGGUUGGUGGGGGAAUGGCCUACCAAGGCGACGACGGGUAGCCGGCCUGAGAGGGUGGCCGGUCACAAUGGGACUGAGAUACGGCCCAGACUCCUACGGGAGGCAGCAGUGGGGAAUAUUGCACAAUGGUCGCAAGUCUGAUGCAGCGACGCCGCGUGAGGGAUGACGGCCUUCGGGUUGUAAACCUCUUUCAGCUAUGACGAAGCGCAAGUGACGGUAGUAGCAGAAGAAGGACCGGCCAACUACGUGCCAGCAGCCGCGGUAA
rnacentral:rRNA from 1 species